AAGAUGGCGUACCAGACGUUCCGGCAGGAGUACCUGCAGGUGCCGCCCGUGACCCGGGCCUACACCACCGCCUGCGUCCUCACCACCGCCGCCGUGCAAUUAGAACUUAUCACGCCCUUCCAGCUGUAUUUCAACCCUGAGUUAAUAUUUAAGCACUUUCAAAUAUGGAGGUUAAUCACAAACUACUUGUUCUUUGGACCAGUUGGCUUUAAUUUUUUAUUUAACAUGAUCUUUUUAUACCGGUACUGCCGCAUGCUUGAGGAAGGCUCUUUCCGGGGUCGGACGGCAGAUUUUGUAUUUAUGUUCCUUUUUGGAGGACUUUUAAUGACUCUUUUUGGGCUGUUUGUGAACUUGGUGUUCCUGGGCCAGGCGUUCACCAUCAUGCUGGUGUACGUCUGGAGCCGCAGGAACCCCUAUGUCCGCAUGAACUUCUUCGGUCUCCUCAUCUUCCAAGCCCCAUUUCUACCCUGGGUAUUGAUGGGCUUUUCACUGCUUUUAGGGAACUCCAUCAUUGUGGAUCUCCUGGGCAUUGCUGUUGGGCAUAUAUAUUUUUUCUUAGAGGAUGUCUUUCCCAAUCAGCCUGGUGGUGGGAGGCUCCUGAGAACACCGUCUGUCCUGAAAGCAAUAUUUGACACACCAGAGGAUGACCCCAACUACAACCCCUUGCCCGAGGAGCGGCCGGGGGGGUUUGCGUGGGGAGAGGGGCAGCGCCUCGGGGGAUAAUCCUGUGCCAAAACCCCUGGGAGAGACUGGCCUGGGCCCAGUCCCACGUGGAGAUUCUCCUUCCCCAGCGCAGAGAGGACUCUCUGACAGCUCUAUGGUUUGGAAUAGAAGCACUUUAUGAAAUGGCAGUCUCACCCAAGGCACUCCAGCGCCUUUCCCCAGUCAGGGAAUUCAUUGUGCCGGACAUAAUCUAAAUCCAGUGGAGCCAAAAAUGUAAAACUGGAAACUGUUUCCUGUUGACUUCAGUUAACAAGGCCACGCAAGUACUUGUUUAAAGUGAUUUCUAAAGCAUUUUUUUCAAGUUAUUUGAUACAUGAAACUCUAUGGGAAACUUUACAGGGGACAAACCCAGCUUUUUGGGUUUAACUAAUUUUUUUUAUUCUUGGAUAAAACAACUACAAGAUGAUUGAAAGGCUAAGUCACUAUUUCAAUGGCAGAAGGAUUUUUAAUCUGAGGUGCUGCUGCCUCCAGUCAUCUUUGAAUUGCAGGGAGCACAACAUGCAGCAUAAUGCAGCUUCUCACUCUGCCAGUUCAGUGUUUGAGAGCCCCUCCUUAGCUUGUUACUGGCACAAGUCCUGAACGGGAACAUGUCCCGACCGUGCCGGCAGCCGGCUCUCUGCCCUCCUUGCUUGCAUUUGGCUGCGGUUUGGGGUCCGGGAUUUUUCCGAGGGUCCCCGGCCCCGAGGGGCUCUCGGAGCAGGUAGCGGUGCAAAUGGCGGCGACAUCGAGACUACAACUCCCAGGAUGCUCCUCGCAGCGUCGCGCUGUGACGUCAUUGCUGCGCCAGGGAGCCUGUGGAGCGCGGCCGGAGCCCCGGGACAGCCCCGGCGGGACGGGACAGGACGGG